rnacentral:rRNA from 1 species
GAUGAACGCUGGCGGCGUGCCUAAUACAUGCAAGUCGAGCGAACAGACGAGGAGCUUGCUCCUCUGACGUUAGCGGCGGACGGGUGAGUAACACGUGGAUAACCUACCUAUAAGACUGGGAUAACUUCGGGAAACCGGAGCUAAUACCGGAUAAUAUAUUGAACCGCAUGGUUCAAUAGUGAAAGACGGUUUUGCUGUCACUUAUAGAUGGAUCCGCGCCGCAUUAGCUAGUUGGUAAGGUAACGGCUUACCAAGGCGACGAUGCGUAGCCGACCUGAGAGGGGGACCGGCAACACGGGAAAGUAGACAGGGCCAAGACCACGAGGGGAGGCAGAGGGAGGGAAUUUUCGGAAAGGGGCGAAAGCCUGCCGGAGCAACGCCGGGGGAGGAAGGAGGGUUUUGGGAUCGAAAAACUUUUUUAUUGGGAAAAAAAAAAUGUGUAAGAACUUAUGCCCUUCUGGAGGGUACCUAAUCAGAAAGCCACGGCUAACUACGUG